CACAUCAGGAGUACCAUCUGAUCUGUGGUCAUGGAGAUAUACUAAAGACUUUCUGGGUGGAAGUGUAAACAUUUACAGUGCUCCUUCCAAGCAUUUGGACUGGGGGGUGUGGGCUUCCACAUACCGAAUCCUGACGGGUCCAUGGGGAGGAUGCACAUGGGACUGGAUUAUUCACCGAAACAUCUGGGAAAUUAGACCACUUGGUAUACCUAACUGAUUUAUAGUCAGUGCCCCAAUCCCUUAGUUGUCAGACAAACAGGAUUCCACUCUUUUGUCCGUGCACUCAUUCCUGGAUUGUGGGUGGCUAAGCUCAAGAGAGCAGUUGUAAAUAUUUCUGCAGAGCUUGAAAAAAAAACAGCUAAUGCAUUAAUAGACGCUUUCCAAAAGUUGCAACAAAAGACUGAUGAAGUAGCAGAAGUAACUUUGCAAAAUAGACGUGUGCUAAAUGCCAUGAAUGCUGAAUUAGAGAGGGGCUUGUGCUCGCAUUGGGGAAAAAUGUUGCUUUGCUGUUAAUCACUCUGGCUUAAUUGACAAAGAUUUACAAGCUAUUAAGAAUGUUGCUGUUGUUUUCCAUGCUAUAUCUCUUGAUCACACGUUUAGUUUUAAGGACCUCCACUCAGACCUUGGGUCAUGGUUUACUAGCCUCCCCCGUACAAUUGUUAAAUGGAUAUGUGUCCCAAGAGUCCCAUUACGGUCCUCUAGGGACAAAGGGGGGAUUGUUAGGCCUGAAUAAAGAUAUAGCAGACAAAACCAGGUAUGCCAACCUGACCAAAGUCAGGCUAACAGAGGUUUGUGGGUAAUCCCUGAGUGGAAAACACUGAGAAGCAGCAGCAUGUCUCACAAGCGCUGGGAAAAAGUGAGAUAAGAGAGAAGCUGCAUUCCUGGCAUAGUACCAGAUGUGCUGUGUUCGGGCAGCUCCUUCGAAGAACUGAUAAGAGUCCUAGUUUCCCAGCCUCCUUGUUUUCGCUCCCUGGUUUUCCUCCCUGGUUUUGUUCUUUGUUUGUUUUUAACUCCCCUACAUUUCUAACUUUAGGCAUGCAUGUAUACUAAAGGUGUCUAGUUUCUAGUUGUUAGAAGAAGGGGGUGGGUUGCUCCAGUGAAUAAUUUAUGACGCGACGGAACUGUCUACAUAGGCUUAUACUAAGAUGUAAAGAGCAGGCUGGUUCUCUCUGGAGACGAGCUGCUCUCUAUUGAUGCGUGCACUUGUCAAUAAAGAGCUUUUGAUCGGACCUUGCUGGUGUUGCCUGUCUCUCUCGCGGUCAGACAACGAACU